rnacentral:rRNA from 1 species
AGUGAACGCUGGCGGUAGGCCUAACACAUGCCAGUCGAACGGCAGCACAGUAAGAGCUUGCUCUUACGGGUGGCGAGUGGCGGACGGGUGAGGAAUACAUCGGAAUCUACUUUUUCGUGGGGAUAACGUAGGGAAACUUACGCUAAUACCGCAUACGACCUACGGGUGAAAGCAGGGGAUCUUCGGACCUUGCGCGGUUGAAUGAGCCGAUGUCGGAUUAGCUAGUUGGCGGGGUAAAGGCCCACCAAGGCGACGAUCCGUAGCUGGUCUGAGAGGAUGAUCAGCCACACUGGAACUGAGACACGGUCCAGACUCCUACGGGAGGCAGCAGUGGGGAAUAUUGGACAAUGGGCGCAAGCCUGAUCCAGCCAUACCGCGUGGGUGAAGAAGGCCUUCGGGUUGUAAAGCCCUUUUGUUGGGAAAGAAAAGCAGCAGGUUAAUACCCCGCUGUUCUGACGGUACCCAAAGAAUAAGCACCGGCUAACUUCGUG